rnacentral:lncRNA from 1 species
AUUCUUUUAACCAGAUUCCCAAAGAACUUUUUCAGAUCUUCUCCUCUUUCUCUUCCUCCCUCCCCCUUACUCUCAGCUGGUAACCUCACUUUCUGUUUCACCAAGACAAUGUAAGCAAUUGGAAGAGAACUUCUACAGACUCACACUACUAAAUUCAACCACUUAUCAGUCUUUUUUUUUUUUCUUUUUAUUAAUGUUAUGAUAAAUUACAACCUUGUGAGAUUUCAGUUGUACAUUUUUGUUAGUCAUGUUGUGGGUACACCACUUCCCCCUCUGUGCCCUCCCCCCACCCCCCCCUUUUCCCUGGUAACCACCAAUCAGAUCUCCUUAUCAAUAUACUAAUUUCCACCUAUGAGUGGAGUCAUAUAGAGUUCGUCUUUCUCUGACUGGCUUAUUUCGCUUAACAUAUUACCCUCGAGGUCCAUCCACGUUGUUGUGAAUGGGCCAAUUUUGUCUUUUUUUAUGGCUGAGUAGUAUUCCAUUGUGUAUAUAUACCACAUCUUCUUUAUCCAAUCAUCAGUUUCUGGGCAUGUAGGCUGGUUCCACGUCUUGGCUAUUGUAAAUAAUGCUGCGAUGAACAUAGGGGUGCAAUGGACUCUUGAGAUUUCUGAUAUCAGGUUCUUAGGAUAGAUACCCAGUAAUGGGAUGGCUGGGUCAUAGGGUAUUUCUAUUUUUAACUUUUUGAGAAAUCUCCAUACCGUUUUCCAUAGUGGCUGUACCAGUUUGCAUUCCCACCAACAGUGUAUGAGGGUUCCUUUUUCUCCACAACCUCUCCAACAUUUGUCACUCUUGGUUUUGGAUGUUUUUGCCAAUCUAACGGGUGUAAGGUGAUAUCUUAGUGUAGUUUUGAUUUGCAUUUCCCUGAUGAUUAGCGAUGAUGAACAUCUUUUCAUAUGUCUAUUGGCCAUAUUCAUAUCUUCUUUUGAGAAAUGUCUGUUCAUGUCCUCUGCCCAUUUUUUGAUCAGGUUGUUUGUUUUUUUUGUUGUUAAGCGGUGUGAGUUCUUUGUAUAUUAUGGAGAUUAACCCUUUGUCGGAUAAGUGGCUUGUAAAUAUUUUUUCCCAAUUAGUGAGCUGUUUUUUUGUUUCAAUCCUGUUUUCCCUUGCCUUGAAGAAGCUCUUUAGUCUGAUGAAGUCCCAUUUGUUUAUUCUUUCUAUUGUUUCCCUCAACUGAGGAGUUACAGUGUCCGAAAAGAUUCUUUUGAAACUGAUGUCAAAGAGUGUACUGCCUAUAUUCUCUUCCAAAAGACUUAUUGUCUCAGGCCUAAUCUUUAGGUCUUGAUCCAUUUUGAGUUUAUUUUGGUGUGUGGUGAAAAGAAUGGUCAACUUUUCAAUCUUUUGCAUGUGGCUGUCCAGUUUUCCCAGCACCAUUUGUUGAAGAGACUUUUCUUU